rnacentral:rRNA from 1 species
CGCACGGGUGAGUAACGCGUAGAUAACCUGUCUUCAUGUCUGGAAUAAUACGCCGAAAGGGGUACUAAUACCGGAUAUCUUUGCUUUUCAUAAGUUAUGCAAGCAAAGGUGGCCUCUGCAUAUGCUACUGCAUGAAGAGGGGUCUGCGUACCAUUAGCUAGUAGGUGGGGUAAUGGCCUACCUAGGCGACGAUGGUUAGCGGGUCUGAGAGGAUGAUCCGCCACACUGGCACUGGAACACGGGCCAGACUCCUACGGGAGGCAGCAGUGAGGAAUAUUGCGCAAUGGGGGAAACCCUGACGCAGCGACGCCGCGUGAGUGAAGGAAGGCCUUCGGGUCGUAAAGCUCUGUCAAGAGGAAAGAAGUGUACAAUGGCUAAUACCUGUUGUAUUUGACGGUACCUCUAAAGGAAGCACCGGCUAACUCCGUGCCAGCCGCUGC